UAUAUAUAUAUAUAUAUAUAUAUAUAUAUAUAUAUAUAUAUGGAUCGAUGGCUAUAUUCACUUAUAUUUAUAUAAAACAAGUGACGGAAAUAGAAACUGGAAUUCACGAGAAUCUACAUUCAUCACAUUGAUCGUUUCGACCCAUCCUGAUUCCCUUGCAGAUCAGAUACUAUACAACUGGUUGUUUUUCAUCUUUCAGUGUCCUUAUAAAGGCACCUGACGAGAUAUACAUUUGCACCGAACGAUGCAACACAACCAAGUGCAUAGUACCCCACCGUCAAAGGACCGAUGCAAGAUGGAUCGAAACGAUCGUUGUGAUGAAUAGAGAUUCUCGUGAAUUCCAGUUACCGUUUCCUUCAUUUGCUAUAUACCCAACAUACUCUGUGGAAUUCCUCGGGUAGAUCCAGUGACACUUAUAUCAAAACUGUGGAUGACAUCAGGUUGCCAUGGACUGUGAAAGUGAUUUAAUCGGCAUAUUACUAGGUGUGUGUCAGUCUGUAUGUAUAUAUAUAUAUAUAUAUAUAUGCACACAUUAAGUAGAGGACAUCAACAACGGUGUAGAAUAUAUAACCACAUAACGAAGGACAAGUAGGAGACAAAAUACCAAAAGAAUCUAACUCCUCCUCAGUUGACGACUGUUUAUUACUCCCUGUUUAGACUUUUCAACGACUAUUUACAUACAUACAUGCAUACAUACAUACAUACAUACAUACAUACAUACAUACAUACAUACAUACAUACAUAUAUAUAUACACAUACAUACACAAAUAGAUAGAUAGAUAGAUUCAUUUAUUUAUUUAUUUAUUUAUGUAGCAUAAGUAACAGAGUGACUCAAAGUCCAUGAGUUUCGUGCUAACGCACGAAACUCUCAGGCUUCGAGUCACUAUGUUACUUCUGCUAAAUAUUAAUAAAAAUAUACAUAUAUUCAUAUUUUAAGGUCCAUUUUUCUUCUUUGUACCAACAUAUAUAUAUAUAUAUAUAUGUUGGUAUGUACCAAAAUAUUUAUAUAUAUAUAUAUACAUAUAUAUGUGCGUGUGUUUGUGUGUGUGUGCGUGUGUGUAUACGCGCGUGCACACGCACACAGACACACACACACAUACACACACAAACAUACACAUGCACAUAUAUAAAUAAAUAAGAUCGUUUCCUUCAGUUUUUGUCUACCAACUCUACACACAGGAUUUUCAUUGGGCCGAGGCUAUGGUAGAAGACAGUGGCUCAGCAGGACUGAACCCAGAACCAUAUGGUUGGGAAGUAAGUAUCUUACCACACAGCCAUGCCUUCACCGAAGUAUGUUUCUUAUGUAUAACGAAGGUAAUGUCUCUACCUUAGUAUUUAGUAGAGGUAUACCACAGAUUCAAUGUAUCCCAUUACGAUGAGCUUGUGCGAGUUUCGAAUUAAUCAAGCUAUACUUUGUCCUUCCUACCUUAUUUCCGACGAGGUAGGUCGCGAGUUCGGUUUGCGAAAAGACGAAAUGUCUCAGCGCUGUAUACAUAUUUGGCAUAUUUUCAUAUGAUUUCUCUGAACUAUUCAAUGUUUACACACCCGUCUUCGACUUUUGUUGGGUUUUUUUUGUAAAUUCUCACCAUAUUCCAUGUCCAUUGUGUGACUAAUAUCGCAUAUCGAAUUUGUUAUGCAAACAUAAAAAUGUCUCUAUUGCUUGUCCUACUCGGCUCGCAUUGUGCUUGAAAAAGGCAACAUAAUAAUUGGGAAAGGCAAAAAUUAAAGAAAUAGAGAAUGCCUCCGCAUGGAAAAUGAACAAUCAUGUAAUUAAAUGCUUUAAACUGAGAUCUAACAGGUUACUGAUAAUGCGUUGUAGAAUGCAAAUCUUUCUAACAGGUUUAAGUGCCUAAUUAGAGUGGAUAUAUAUUUAAUCCCUCAGCAGAAUAGUUCAAGAGUGUGCUCUGACAAUAAUAAAAUCUCAACAUAAGAUUAAAGAUAUUUCAGUUGACCACCCACAUGAAAAUAUAUUAUAUGAAGAUAAAAUGUUUACAUGUCUUUUGAGUAUAGUAUUGACUAAAACCUAAUACACACACACACACACACACACACACAUAUAUAUAUAUAUAUAUAUAUAUAUAUAUAUAUAUAUAUAUAAAACUUUGCUUGACUGAGAGAGCAAGGACCCUAAAUUUGCUUGAUGCCUGGACUUUCUUAAACUCCAAAAGUGACAUGUUCAGUCGGUGCCUUCAUGUGAUGAAAUUCUUCAUGUAGAGAUGAAAUUCCACGCCUUCCCACCAGCGAAUGUGGAUCGUAAAUAUACUAAACCUUUUCCGAUGCAAUGGAAACUAGUCAAAGAGAGUUAACUCCAUCUCGCCCCGAAAGGAAGUCGCUUGGUGAUACUUCAGGGUUUUUGUCCCUUUUUUACAACCCUAACUGAACAAGACUGCAUUCAUAUAUCCAGGAGAUAUGUUAUGAACCUCGAUCAAUAGGUCUGAAGUGUCACCAUAUCACUAAGAGAAUAACAGGGCAAAACCAGCGGAAACUCCCUGACCAGCCAUAACCAACAACUACAUUUUAUACACACACGAAUACACACACACACAUAUACAUAUAUAUACGCACAAAUGCAUACAUACAUAGGUAAAUAGAUAAAUAAAUAAAUAAAUAAAUAAAUAGAUAUAUUUCUUUAUUGGCCACACAAGGAUGAAGACAGAGGGGUCAAAAUACAAAGUAGAGCUUUUCUUUUUCGCCGGAGAGAAGGAAAAGUAAAAGAAAAGGAAAGGGGUUAGAAAUUCGAUUAAAAGGGAUCGUUAAAAAAAAGCUGAUCAAUAGGGGAUCGAGUAUCACAGAAAUGUCAUAGUGUAAAAAGAGGAAACAGAUUACGCUUAUCCGUGGAAAGAAAAGCCUACAAAAAAGACCACAGUAACCUCGGGCAAUAAUAUCAUGCAAAAAAACGCAUUACAGUAAGUGACUCUCCUUUGUCAAUCGCACGUGCCAUCCUUGCUACAUUCACCCAUGUUUUUUUUUAAACAUUCACUAGAUAAAACUUCCCUCUCUACUCUCACUUUACUCUUCAAAUGAUACUUGUAGAAGUUGAUGAGAUAUUGACCAGAGAGGAAAGUGCUUGUCUCUAAACCAUUCAGAUGUCUAGUUUCAAUACUCAAUUAGAUCGCCGUACACCCAAUCUUCAGGUCUGGAUUCUACACAUUUAUUACUCUAUCUACAUCCUAUAAAACUGUAUGAUAAUUGAAAUUAUUUGACUCAAAAUCGUUAACAUAAAUUUACUUUACAAUUUAAUGAAUAAAAAUAAAAAUAAAAAUAAUGAAUGAAUGAACCUUAAAAGUUUAAGGACUAAAAGAAACUAAAAAUACAAAUAAAAAUACGAAAUAAAAAUAAAAAUAAUACAUAUAUAUGUGUGUGUGCGUGUGUGUGUAUGUGUGUGUGUGUGUGUGUGUGUGUGUGUGUGUGUGUGUGUGUGUGUGUGUAAAAGAAUACAAACUGGGACAAGAACGCAAAACAUUUAGAAGACGAUACAAAAAACACGGAUGGUAUAUUCGAAGGUUUCAAUCUUCAGUCAAGAAGCCGAUCAUCCUCGCAAUUUCGGCUGAUUAAUCUUGAGAUUGCUCCAAUCUGGCCAGCCCCAAAGGAAAAUCUAAGUCAAGCGCAUUAGAUUCCUUGGAAGAAAGCUUCGAAUGUAUACAAAACAAGGACGGAAAAACGGACGAGGUACACGAAUAAGAAUACAAAAAUACGUAAAAACAAUAAUGAUAAUAAUAAUAACAAAAACAGGACGUCACAGACAGGCGUCUAUCGACAGGACGAGUAAACUUUGAGCUGGUGUGUUUAUAUAUAUAUAUAUGUAUAUAUAUAUUUAUAUAUAUAUACAUAUAUAAAUAGAUAUAGAUAUAGAUAUAGAUAUAGAUAUAGAUAUAUAUACAACAUCACAAAACCCUUUCGAACGAGCAAUACUGAUUCCACGGCUCCAUGCUUUGAAAUGACUAAACAUGAAGUGCUACGGGAACUUACAUACCAUGUACAGGAAACAUUUUUACCACUUCUAUGCACCAUUUUCCUCGAAUACUAGAACUGCAACUACAAUAUCUUUAUAUAUCUUAUUUCGACUUUCUCUCACUUCCCUCUAUAUUCCCUAUCUUUUCCACAAUAAUUCGAACUCAGAUAUUCUCUCACACCGUUUCUGAUGAAGGGAUAUCCAUAAUAUCCCAGAAACAGCUGUAAGACUAUUUCAUUAUAAAUGACCUGAAAACUCCUCACAGCCUUGGAUUUCUUAUCUUAUUCUGCCUAAUAUAUAUAUAUAUAUAUAUAUAUAUAUAUAUAUAUAUAUAUAUAUAUAUAUAUAUAUAUAUAUAUAUAUGUAUGGAUGGAUGGAUGGAUGGAUGUAUGUAUGUAUGUAUGUAUGUAUGUAUGUAUCAUUUAACGUCCGUUUCCAGCCUGGUCCAUUGUCUAUUUUUUAAUUUGCUUCUACGGCUCGAUGCCCUUCAUAACGCUGGACACUUUACAGAGUGUAGUGGGUGCCUUUUACGUGGUACCAUAAAAGUGCCAGUACCUUUCCUAUGGCACCAGUACUGGUGCUUUUUGCGUGACACAAGCAAGAUAGCAUUUUAUGCGGGACCCUGGUUUUAUGAUAUCAGUUUUCUUGUGAUCGGUGGGUCUUCUUGAGUAGAGCAAUAUGUCACAUCUCGGUCCCUUGCCAUCGCCUUCAUAAGGCCCAGUGUUUUGAGAUUGGCCUUCAAUACUUCGUCUCAUGUCUUCCGGGAUCUCCCUCGUCCACUUUGUAUGAUCGGCCCUUCUUUAUACAGCUGUCCUCAUUCCGCCCCCAAUCCAUCCAUCCAUCCAUCCAUCCACCCAUACAUACAUACAUACAUACAUAUACAUACAUACAUACAUACAUACACACACACAUACAUACAUACAUACAUACAUACAUGCAUACAUUCAUGCAUACAUACACACAUACAUACAUACAUACAUACAUACAUACAUACAUACAUACAUACAUACAUACAUACAUACAUACAUACAAACAUACAUACAUAUAUACAUACAAGCAUACAUACAUACAAAUUCUGUCAUCAAUGACAACAGGUUCCAUGAUGUGUCUGAGUGUGUGUGUUUGCGUCUCUGUGUGUGUUUGUGUGUAUGCUUGUGUCUGUAUGUAUUUGUGUCUGUGUUUGUAUGUGUGUGUUUUGUAUGUGUGCGUAUGUGUGUGCGUGUGUUUGUGUCUGUGUCUGUGUGUGUGUGUGUUUGUAUGUUCUUUCUUGUGUGUGUGUGAGUGUGCUUGUGUCCUCCCUACAUGAAACAAAUAUACAAGUUGAAGUAUUCCAGAGAUCAAUCACAAAGAAUAACUGACGAUAUGUCAGGUCUUUAUUACUGAGAUAGGACUCAAGAAACUUUAUUGCCUCCAACGCUACGGUGAGCACUACAUCAUUCGUAUGAGGUGGAACAUAUUCCGACAAGCGAAUAUUUUAGGAUCGUUGCCCUCUCGCCCGAGCAAAUUUUGCAUCGUUUGCUUCCAUUGAGUAAUGGUCCAGGCUGUUCCAGGAGCUUCCAUUUACUACUGUAUGGCCUUUCUUUUUCUUUUGAACGCCAUAUGUUGUUGGUCAAAGCCGUAAGAUUGUGCGUCAUUGGGAUCCUAGAAAAAGGACCUGUGCUAUUUGGUCCCAGUUUAAAGGAGUCCUCCCUUGCUACGACGUAUUUCCGUGUAUGUGUGUUUAGUUGUUGGUGCUGUUGCUACAAUCGCUGCCGUUGCUGCUGCAAUAUAUAUGUAUGUAUGUAUGUAUGUAUGUAUGUAUGUAUGUAUGUAUGUAUGUAUGUAUGUAUGUAUGCAUGCAUGUAUGUAUGUAUGUAUGUAUGUAUGUAUGUAUGUAUGUAUGUAUGUAUGUAUAGCGUAUUCUUUCCAUGCGUUAUAUAAAACCUGACUCUAAACAGAGAAAAUAGUUCAAAUACGUUUUUAUUUGUAAUACGUUUUAUAUUUCACAGGAAAAAGAGUCUCGACGCGGUUACAAAUAGAAACUUGUUUAUUGAUAUCACACGGUCUCUGAUGAACAAUUAAUUUUACUAAAUAAAGUCUGCAUAUCAAUGAAUGCUGAACACGUCAAGAUGAAAUAUGUGCAAAGCUGAACAAAGAAAUUUAGCUCUCAAAAAAUUUAGGCUAUAUGCAACAAAG
rnacentral:lncRNA from 1 species